rnacentral:misc_RNA from 1 species
GGUAAUUAUCAUUUUACAGUAUAUGAUGACAAUUGUAUUUUGAUUGAUCUUGUAUUUGUCAUUGUUUCACCUAUUGAAUAUAUUGUAUAGUUUUGAUUCAAAGGGUAUUAUGAGUUAUUGUUUUUGUUUAAAACUGCACAAUUGUUUUUAUUCUUUUUUUAGUACUUAAAAGAAGUCUCUUGUUCUAGAUCUCUCGAGUAAGUAAUACCGGACAUCACAUUAGUUUGAAACUAGAGUUUUGGUGCUUAUGAAAGUGGUUUGAAGUGUGCCUGAGGCACAAGGAGCCAAGGGUGAACUGCCAUCUAGCUGAGUUUAUUCACCUAUGCAUACAUCUAGCUCUGGAAAAUUGGGUGAAGCAAAAACACGUCUUAUUUAGCCGUUAGAUUAUGUGAUUGAAUUUUAGUUUUAUGGUGUGGUGCAUGAGGCACAGUUUUUACCUUGCACUGUUAUAAAGCUGAAAUUUCUAGAAGAUCAGAGAGCAUCCAAAGGGUCAAAAAGAAGAAGAGGCAAUAAAAUAUGGUCUCCUUGUGGUGUGAUAAAAUAUUGAUCCAAUUGUGGCUUAAUGAUUGAGUAUAUUCUGCAAGUACAAAAUAUAUAACAAUAUGCAUUCAGUUUAGAGAUAAAAUAAUAUGCUUCAAAUUUACUUGAUUUGAUUAUUUUUACUUGAUUUCUUUGCAUAUCGUCUGUGGAAGUUUUAAACAGUUUAAACCUUGGUAUGAUAGCCAAAAUAAAUUUGUAUUCAGCAUGUCUUAACUUUUAAGCCUUUUUUUUUUUUUCUU